rnacentral:lncRNA from 1 species
UGAAUUCAAACUUUGUUUUCAGCAAGCUUUGUUUGGAGAAGAUGAAGAAAUCCACGACAUGUACUAUUCUUUUACCACUUUUUUAUUGUUAUUUUUCUUUUGUUUGUGUCUCCAUGGUGGUUUGGUCCUGGGUUUCUAGUAUUGUGUUUGGAUAGUAUUUUGGUACCUUUCUCCUAUCCUCCAAUUUUGCCUUCGUUUUGAUUAGGAAUGCGCUGGCUGGUUAUCACCUAAAUCGGGGUGGUAUUUUUCAAGAGAUGAAGGUGACGACCAGCGUAUUCAAGCCACUAUAUGGGCAUCUUCUUCUGCCUAUCUGGAAUCAUCAUACCUUGCCAACUCGUUGGUGGACCCCCAUGAGUCAGAUUUACAUGUAGGUAAUCUUAUCAAGGAAGGGGCAUGGCAAAUAGGAAUUAUGAGGACAUCAGAGGGUCUGAUGACAAAAGAGUCAUCUUUGACGUUGAUGUGGGAAGAAAGGGUGCCUUGUCAAUAGUGUAUUUCGACGAUGUGCAAGAUUUUUCUGGUAGUGAAGUAGGGAAUGAAGAAGUGAGGGAUGGAGAGUUCGAUGGUGAGAUUGGUGAUGAAAUCGGUGGUGAGGUCCUAGCCGACACUGAAUAUGACUAGGCAGACAAAAGAUCCCUUUCAAUUCGUUCAAUAUACACUAAUUCGAGUAUGGUGGGACAUUUGAAAAAAUUAGUUUGCAAAGUCGAUCAUACCAAUUUAGUUGAGUUAGAAUCAUGUAGUCAUUAAGAAAAGGUUUGCCAAUCAGCCAUGGCGGGGAUGAGUGAAUACACCCAUAUAUACGAAUAUCUUGUUAGAAAGUUUGGUUCCGUCCUUCCCUUAUCGGAUUUCCAAUGUGUCAUUUUGUGUACCCUGAACUGUGCUCCAUCCCAACUUCAUCCACGUUUGUCCAUGCCUUUGAGCUCUUAUGUGAAGGGUUCAACAAAACUCCAAUUGUCAAUGUAUUUUUCAUUAUUUCUCUGUACAUAAGAAACUAAACAUUGGUUGGGGGUCGCUAAGCGGUGACAACAAUGAGGCAUUUUGGUGGCCUAUUCAAAUAGUAUUAAGUAAUAGAAAAAUUGGUAUUUUCGUGUCAAAAGAGGAAAAGGUUGUCCUAGGUUGUUAUUGGAUGAAUUUGGGCUUCUAACUUUUCCCUUGUAUUGGAAUCGAAAUCCCUUUGUGACAGUUGUUGUAGAAGAACACUUCAUGGAGUCAUCCAAAAAGGAAUUGAUUGCCAAGCUUGACACCUUACAUUCUUCCAAAUUCUUAUGCAGUGCUUUGUUGAAACUUCAUAGUGAUGAGGUUGUUUUAAGGGAUUAUAUAUGUAUGUGCUCUUUGAUUUUUACUUUCGUGUUGUUGUCUUACCUAUUAUAUUAUCUAAAGCAUAUCAUUGGUUUUUGUAGGCAAUUUUAUUCCAAUUACCGAUACCGAGGAUCAUCUUCAUCAAGGCUACAAGCAAAAGAUGAAGUUGCAGGCGGAAACGGUUGGCAAACCUUUUGCAGAAGGGUCAUCCAGUCUGCUAUUUGGCGCUUCUUCAAGCUUAGUGUUUGUGGUUCCUAACCCUUAAUUUGAAAACCAAUCAUCUCAAAAGCCAAGAAAGAACUUAGGGAGAGGUCCUAUUAAUGUUGACUUAACUGUUGUGAGUGACUAGCCUGCUCCAAAUCUGAUCCAGACUCAAAUUCCUUUUUUGGCCAUCCUGGUCAUUCUCCAUGUUUUUAGCAAGUUUCCCCAAGAGUAGGUUAUAGAAGAACAUUUGACUAUCACAGGUGUUGAAGGACCAAUGAAGAAAGUUGGUCUUGUAGGUGCUUGUAAGGCCUUAAAGUUUUUUAGCUUAAUGUCGGCUAAUGUUUUGUUGGAUUGGGAAGGAGUAUGGUCCUUGGUCAAAGACAAAAGUUUGUGGGUUUCAUGAUCAAACCAUGAAAUAUGUGGUUGUCCUCAGAAUUAACUAGGAAGAAGGGAACGAUCGUUACAUUGUUUGAGAAGUUGGAGUAGGUUGUGGCGGCCAAGGCACUAGUCGAGAAAGACUUGGAAGAUGCCAAGUCUCAGUUAACUUGUUGGAUGGUGAAAAUGGGACAUUGGAGAAGUACGUGAAGGACUUAAGUGGUUUUGAAUUACAAGCUAAAGAAUUUAGAGAUGAACGGAAGCCUAUGAAGGCUACAUUAGAGUAAUGAGAAGCCGACAUUGAUGUGAUGGCUUAUGAGCAAUUUGAAUUAGGGUUCUGUCGCAAUCUAUCCUUUGGCGGGAGGGCGACGCGUGACUCGCAGGUGCGUCUUUCAAGAAAGGAAUACACACGGAGUCGCCACCAAUGUUUAUUUGAGGAAAACGUCGAAAAAACAGGAAAAGACGUGGUCUACGAAUUUUAAGUGAAAGGUUCGGGAGUUGUAUUUACGCACGGGGAAGGUAUUAGCACCCCACACGUCCGUCACAAGGGACGACAAUCUUUAAUCAAAUGUGCAAACAUGACUUCAAUUUUUAUGUUUCCUUUUACGUCUUUAUUUCUUUUUGUACUUUUUAUAUUUUUAUCUUUUUGUGGUCGACGAGGGUGUUUACCUUGCUCCUACGUAUUCCUCAAUUGUGAUAAGGAAAUCAGAC